rnacentral:rRNA from 1 species
CAGCAGCCGCGGUAAUACGUAGGGUGCGAGCGUUAAUCGGAAUUACUGGGCGUAAAGCGUGCGCAGGCGGUUGUGCAAGACAGAUGCGAAAUCCCCGGGCUUAACCUGGGAACUGCAUUUGUGACUGCACGGCUAGAGUGCGGCAGAGGGGAGUGGAAUUCCGCGUGUAGCAGUGAAAUGCGUAGAUGUGCGGAGGAACACCGAUGGCGAAGGCAGCUCCCUGGGCCUGCACUGACGCUCAUGCACGAAAGCGUGGGGAGCAAACAGGAUUAGAUACCCUGGUAGUCCACGCCCUAAACGAUGUCAACUGGUUGUUGGUCCUUCACUGGAUCAGAAACGUAGCGAACGCGUGAAGUUGACCGCCUGGGGAGUACGGCCGCAAGGUUGAAACUCAAAUAAAUUGACGG